GUCCCCCAACUUGCAGGAUGGCUCAAGAGAGUCCUCACAGCUGCAUAUUUACCUGCUGUCACUGAUGCAUUGAGUGUGUCAGUCCCUCUGCCCAAGGUUCCCAACAUCAGCCUCAGGAACACCAAGGUUGACAUCACCGACGCAGACAGCUCUCCCGACCAGACCCGUCUGGAUGAUUCCUGCUCCAUCGGACCCAUGUCCCAGCUCCGCUUCUGAGGCUGACAGCACCCAUGAGCUCCAGCACCCUGCUUGUCUCCAUGUG